ACAAGACUGGAAGUACGUAGCCAUGGUGAUUGACCGUCUGUUCCUGUGGAUCUUUAUCCUGGUGUGUUUGACGGGAACGCUCGGGCUCUUCAUGCAGCCGCUGUUCCAAGGCCACAAACCCAACGCUGAUGACACAGAAUAUGGAGAUUUCUAGGACGUUUGGAGAUGAACUAUAACAACUUUAACUGAGAAGCUGCACCAGGUCUAGCUCUGAUCUGUUUUUUGCUGGUUGGAUCCGACAGAUUGCAGGCAGUUGGUUGUUUCUGAAACAGUGGACCUCAAACAAACCGAAUGAUACAGGGACACUUUUAUUUUUUUUACUGCAUGGCUUUCAUUUCUAACCAACUAUGCAUCCAUCCAAGCGCUGCCAUCACCCCAGGCAUGGCAAUAUUUUAUUGACUCUCUUCUAAAACCUAAAAAAGUAUUCUGCCAAGAUUAUAAUAUUGUCAUUUAGCCGAGAUUGCUCCCCAUGCCAUUUUUGAAACUACCCACAAGACAAGUACGGUCUUUCCCAGCUCUAAUUUUUCCCAAUGUAAAGAAAAACUAAAAAGCCAAUGUAAAAUGCUGUUAAUUUGUCUGUGUUUCAUUUUGACUAGUGUGCUGCUGAGGGAACAGUAGGAGCUCUUUACAGAAAUACAGAGGGUCAUUACACAUUAUAGCUCCUAUACGACCAUGAGGUCUGUUCUCCCUUGCAGCUCUGUCGAUGUGAAAAUCAGACAAUAAAAGACUUAACACAAAUUGUUCAUGUUGGCACAUUAAAGUGGAUCCAAAUAUCCUUUUUCUAAAAUCAAGCUUUAUUGCUAAAACUCCACCCAAAUAUCCACCUUUUCUCGUCAUAUUAUCUCUCGCUCUGUUCUUCCCAUGUUCUGCUUUAGAGCCUCAUCUGCACCAGCCACCUCCAAGGACGGUCGUAAUCAUUGUCCUAUUUUAAAUAAUGUGUAUUCUCUUCUUGCUUUCUCUUUCCGUCUUUCACUUGCUUGGUUAUACACACAUUUUGUUUUGUUUAUGUGCCAUAUAUAAUCACACAUGUAGCUGUACAAGGCUACAUACAUUAUCAUGAAAAAAAUGACACUGACUGUAUUGAAAUACAUGUUAAAUAAAUGACUCUUUAUUUUA